rnacentral:rRNA from 1 species
CGGACGGGUGAGUAAUGUCUGGGAAACUGCCCGAUGGAGGGGGAUAACUACUGGAAACGGUAGCUAAUACCGCAUAACGUCGCAAGACCAAAGAGGGGGACCUUCGGGCCUCUUGCCAUCGGAUGUGCCCAGAUGGGAUUAGCUAGUUGGUGAGGUAACGGCUCACCAAGGCCACGAUGCAUAGCCGACCUGAGAGGGUGAUCGGCCACACUGGGACUGAGACACGGCCCAG